AAAACUUGGAAUUUGAAGUAUCCAUUUCUUUAAUGGCUAAAAGGUAAAAUAAGGAAGUAUAGCUGAGUGAAUUUUUUGCUUGUCAUGUGAUAAAUUAACAUUCAACAUAGGAAGUCCAAAACUAUUCAGUUCACAUGAUCUCAGUAUUUGUCUCCAUUUUAAAAUUGUAUCAAAAUGAAAACAUUUAUUCCUGAGCCUGGAAGGCCCUCAUUUUUCAGAUAUUCCCUUAAUGGGAGUCAUGAGUGUUAUUUUAUUUGGGAGUCAGAAGUAGCUGAGAUAAGAAACAGUAACAGCUUUGGGAUUUCUUUCUUCCCUUCCUUCUUAUUCCUUUCUAUUCGACCAGGAAGAAGUGCAAUUUAGGUGAGUAACAGCAAGGCAUCCUACAUUAAGUUAGCAAGUGAGGUUGAAAAGUCAAUCUUACAGGCUUUAGAGGAGCUGAUACUAGCAGAAAAACUGUGCCUGCAGAACAAAGCCAGAAGAUAUCAAACAUCCUAAGAUCUGCUUUCACAAAUCAACAAAGUACAUAAACCAGAAAAAAAAUGCCUUCCUCUGGUUUGUUUCCCCAAAAUGAGAAACUGCGAAAGCCUGUAAGUGAAGAGCGAAUAUGAGAUGGUUGUCAGUGUAAUGUCAGCUUCUAGCAGAACAGAAAUAACUCACAAGUCUUGGAAUAAGUUCUCUAUUGCCUUGCACACUGUAUAGUCUUUUAAUCAAAAGCCAGAAUGAAUAGUUUCCAUCCAGCCUCAAAAUACCACGUCAUAUUAUGCAGAAAGAGGACUAUUGCAGAAACACUGCUUUUCCUGUCUUUAAGAUCUAAAACCACUACUAUGCAGGGUUCUGCUUGAGUAAUAACCUCAGUAGCAUUCCUUUUUCCUUUUGUGUAAAAUAUAUUUUGGCUCGUGUUUUGUUUCAACAUACUUCUAUAAAUCCUCGUGGGACACAGUAUGGGGGCCCUUCCAGGAUGUGACCUUUAGAUAUUGACAGAGGAGGUGUAUAUGCAUGUAUUCUCAUAUGAUGGCAGCAGAGGGGCAGACUGACGGAAUCCAUCGGAAGCAAGGGUGUGCCACUGAAUUCCUCCAUGCAGGAAAAAAUGCCACCCAUUGACACUGAUCAAUGCUUGCUGAAUGUUUCUGGAGACCAACCUGUGGGUGUGAGCACAAUGAGGUGGCUUUGGGAUGAGGAGGAGACAGAUGUGAGAGCACAUGUGAAGGCUGGCACUUGCUGUGGGACAAGGAGUCACAGGCAGUCUGCGGUGCUGCUGGAUUCCACUGACCUACCCAGUGUUGUUCAGCUCCAUUAAUGCUUUUUGAUUUGGAAGCACAAAUGGUAUUAAACAAGGAACCACUGAAAAACAGUAAAUUUAAAACCAUCAAAAAGCUUCAAGAUUCUUCUUGGAUGAGAUCCUUGUUAUCUUGGAUGUGUAAAUCCUACUGCAACUCAGUGACAGUCAAACUUACUUGUUCGCACCUUCUUUAAAGCUAUGGAAAACUUUGCUUGCUACAGAAAUUACGAAGUUAAAUAUACCUUCAGAUUUCUGUGGAUAUAAACCAUUUCUCCCUGAAUUUUGUUGGCCAGAUUGAAUUUCUCUUUUUUUUUAGGGAAAUAUGCAUCAUUUGGUAUUAACUUAUUAGGUGGUGGUACUUGGUAAGUAAAUGUAUUUUUAAAAUUUUACAGAAUAUUUCUUUCAAAAUAGCUGUAAGAUAUUGAAAUAACUAUUUUAUAACACCUCCUAUCAUGAUUGAAUGGAACAAAAUAAUGUCUGAUAUUGUCUAUCUGAGUAACUUCAUCCUUCUUCCAAAUUUGCUGAAUGAUCAUUUACUGUUUCCCAUUUCAGAUGAUCGAACAUUUCAUUGAUGAAGCUCAUAAAAAACUUAUUCAAAACCAUACUGAAAUUCAAUGACAUAUCUGAAAAUUAAAUGUUUUUUGUGCACGGACCAACCAUAGGUUAUAUCAGCAAGAUCCUUAUGUGAUCAAUUAGUGCUCCAAAGACAAACCUCUCUCCAGGAGUAAAAUAUGAGCCCCAGUCCUGGAGGGGAUUAACCCUCAGUUCGAGAAUAGUUAUUCAUUCCUGUAAUUGAAUACAAAAGACAUAGGGAUUGAUUUUCACCUAUACCCAAAUUCAUGGCUCCUGGGAGGGUAUGAGCUGCUGACAAAUAAUUUCAGCUUCAGCCAUUGAUUAUGCUUCUAUAGUGAACAUUACAUAUACAGUAAGGUUGAUGUAAUAUAUAUUGCUGGAGUAAUAUAAUAUAAGUACUCCCCAUUUCUUAACCUAUCUUUCACUACCCUUAAGCUGUGCCGUGCACAGGAGAUGUAGAAUUCGGCUUCCUAGGAAGGAAAUGGCCAUGAAGCAGAAAAAUGAAUUCACCCUCAUUGUAUUGUAGUGAUGUGGUGAAGAUAAUCACUGCAGCUUUAUUCCAUUUAUUUUGAAAGAGAAAGCCUUUGCCUUUUCAAACUGCCUUGACCAUAUCACCACUCAUCUAUUUGCAAUGAAAAUCUGACAUCAGAGUACAGAAUUAUAGCUGGAGAAAUUGUCUUCUCAUUUCAUAUUUACCUUGUUUCCUCUCCUGAGUCACUGGAAAUGCAGCGACCUAGGUCCGUGCUUUUACACUUUUUUUUACUAUAUAUACACACGUAGAUAAAAAAAUUAGUGUGUGUGUACUGCCAAACUCUUCAGCUCACUACUCAUCUUCCCAGGUGUCUUCACACACCGUAAUUUCUGGUGUUUAAAAUUGGUAGACUGCAAAAAGUAGCACUCCUGCGUUCCCUCUCAUUCAUAUUGUGAAUAUUCAGUUCUCCAAGAAUUUUGCUGCUGGUGUCUGACCAGCCAAGCCCAUAUCAGAAUCGGCCACAGUCUAAUCAUAGUUUUUACCAAUUAAAACUUGUGUGCUAUAAUUUGUUUUUGUUUGUUUGUUUGUUUGUUUUGAUAACCUAAAGCAUAUUCUACUGUUUGCUGUUAAAAUAAAAUCCUUUCUGUUUACCUCCUCAUGGCUCACUGAAAAAAAUAUAUGCUUACAAUUGCAGCUUUCAAAAUGUUUUUUAUUUCUUCAGAUUUCUACUACAAAGCUUCAAUGUAAUCAAUAAUUCUAACUAGCUAUCUGACAGAGUACUUAACUUUAUUUUUCCUAAUAAGAACAAAUAGUUGGAGAAGAAUGUGUCCAAAGCCAUUUUUUUCCAUUCCUUUCUCAUGGCUUGCCUCUUGUCUUCUGUAUAAGGAAUUUUAGCAUUUCAAAUUUUAAGCUGAAGAUAAAUCCUUCUUUUUGAAGAAGUGUUUCUCACCAAGAGAGCCUUUUUUUUUUUUAAAGUAAGGAUAGCAAAUCCAGCCUGAUAGAACAAACACCUGAAGACAUUUUCUGUACAAUAAUAUCUCUUUAACAGAAUUAAAAUUCUAGAGAUUUAAUUCUUUGCAGACUUAACUCAACUGAAGGAAUAAGAAAUGCUGUGAUAAAACAAUAUGAUUACUUCAGUCUCCAUGUAGUAUAAAGUACGAUUCUACAGGAUUUCUUCAGUAGCCCAUGUCCAUAGUGAUCUUAAUUUUUGCUUUGUCAGAAGAGCUCUAUGAUAGGUUAAUUCUUCAGAAAUACUUAUCGUCCAUUACAUCAGAUUUCAUUUAUUUCUCCACUAUGAAAUGCAAUUUUUGGAAUUAUUAUUCUUUUUAUUAUUGUUGCUAUUACAGAACUUCCAGUGUUGGACAAAUUUACUGCUGGUACCUUCCUGUUUUCAUCCCUUUUCUUCCAAAUCCAGUGCCUAACCAAUUGAUUGUUUACUUGGAUAAACAAUUUGUUUUCCCUAAUGAAAAAAGAUAAGACUUCAUUGCCUAUUUUGUGUGGAACUGGGGCUCCUCUAGCUUCUGCAUUUUUUCCUAUUACAUCAUAAGUCCUACUUCUAGACAGAAAUAAGAAUGAGAGAUUGCAGCCUGUAGAGCUGCUACUUAUAUAGCUGCUAGAGUUACUAUCUUAGCAUGCUCAAACAUAUUCCUUAUCUGCUUCUUUUUCACUGUUCUUUUCUGAUUAAUGGUGGAUUUCCUGAUAUGUUAGGAUAUUACUGUCCUAUCUGCAGAAAUAUUGUCUCUCAUUUGGAGGAUGGUGGGAUUUUUUUCAACUUAAAUUUUUACUUUGUGCAUUGUAAUACUAAUUUCAGUUCCUAAUUUUCCAGUAAGGCAAUUAGGACACUAAAAUUUCCCAAUCACGGAAAAAGUAAUUAGUUACUAGAAGAUAAGGAUGUGCAAAUUUGAACAAAUUUGUAUGUAUUUAUGGAUAUAAGAGUUGGCUUGCAUGUGUAACUUAGAAUUUUACAUAAAUGACAUAAACUCAUUUAAAUAUAUAAAAGUAAAAAUCCAGUACUUUUUCUAUUCAUCUUCUGUGGAAUUUAAUAGCUUUUUUUAAAAGGCAUGCAUUUUCAUGAAUUGAUGUUGGUAUAUAAGCAAGAUUAUGUAUUUUCUUCAUUAACUUUUACAAAGUAGAUAUGUAGGUGGAACUAAACAUUCAAAAGCUAAGCAAAGUUUGUGUUGUUUACAUAAAAGUAUUGGUAGAUUACAUCUACCCACAAAAAAAAAAAAAGUCAUGUAUUUUUGUUUUCAGAUAAAAAUGCACAUCUCAAAGACUUUCUUCUCUACAACUCAAACUUUCCAAAGGUUUUGAGUCAAAUUAUAUCUGAGUGUUCACUUAAAAAAAGGAAAAAACAAAACAAACAAACAAAUAAAAAAAAAUCAGAACACGGAGUUCUGUAGAAGUUAGGUAUGGUAGUUAAAAACCUUUCUGUGAAUGGCCAAAAAUACCCAAACGUUGGACUUGCUGGAACAGGAUAUGUGUUGUAAAGGAAAGCUGACAACAGAUGUUCAUAUUGUUGAAUGCUUUUGACUCAGAUCAUCAUUGGGUUUCAAGCUGUUAAUGGUGAAAGAGGUAAGAUCUCCAAGACAAGAUCUCAAAGAAAGAAGAAACUGAUCAGAGUACUUAGAUCUGAUUAUUUCAACUCACCUGACUAGCAGAGUCUUGGGCCCCAUCCGACUGCAAGUGAUCGUAACACAGGCAGCAGAAUAAUGGAAAAUUGUUGCAGCAAGAUGGUUGCUAGGGUAAUGCUAGCAGUAAGAAAGGAAGAGUAAAUCUGCUGAUCUGAGUGGGAUAAUCAUCUUGACAUUGGCAUUGCCUUGCCAGUGGAAGCAAAGGGUUUUCAAACCAUGGAUGAGACAAUAGAAUUCCUCUCAUCAGUAGCAUGUUGAGGUGCCAUGAUAAGACAUUGACACAGAUGGUACACAGCAAAGCAAGGUGGAAGACUUCAGGGAACCAUCCAAGUCUUAUCCAGUGAUCCUCUUAUCUUUUCAAUACUAUGGACCAAGAAGCAAUGAUGCUUUAUGUUAAAAAAAAUAAUAAUAAAACAAAAAAGAGCAAUCUCAGGACAAGAAGUUACUACAGACAUAUAACCCUCAUUUCUAAAGGCAAAUCUGCCUUGCUUUCAUUUUUCAAAAGAAAAGGGCAAGUCUGUUUACUUCAUUCUCAUCAGAAGUGCUGACCCUUGUUCUGCUAAUCAGGAUAGAGCCUGCAUUGAUUCCACCUGGAAAAUAACAUAGCUGAAAAUCAGAUGGUUUACACUCACACCAAAAUAUAUAGCAAUAAUGAAGUUGGAAGAGCAAGGCUCAGCCUCAAGCUUGAUCUGACUCAUACCAUGAAAUCAUCAGGUUUUUUAAGCUCAGGAGGGUUACAGUUCUUCAUUAUCUGAAUGGAAGACUUCACAAAAAGCCUCAGGAGCUGAAGGAGCAAUGGAGAUACUUCAGCUUGAAAUCAAUACACUGGUGUGCUGCUCAGUUCCUUGGAUCACUUUGUCACUUGGAGGUGAGUACCAGCAGGGUUUGAAUGCUUACUGCCAUUACAAAACCUGCAGCAAGAGCAUCCCUGCAUCCUGUCGGUGCUCAGCUGACCUAUUAGAGAAGAUUACUGGAACUAAAUACCUUACUGAAGAAAGUGACAAAGCUAUUGAACCUAUGUCUGCCCACCCUUGGUCACAUCAAGCUCUGCUUGCCACAGUACAAGGGGACCCCUCUGCUAGCUCAGCUGCUGGAAAGAGUGGGGUCAUGAAGGCUGCCAUGUGAUGCUUUCCUAGUAUUGUUCCAGCCUGUGAGUUGGAGGUGGACAUCCUAAGCUUAAGGCGGACUUGGAGUUGCAUGUUUUUUUUCUGUUCGCUUGCUUGUUUUUGUUCAUUUUUCAAUAAAUAUGCAUUCUCUCC
ensembl:lncRNA